UAACAAAAACAUGGUUUAUUGAAUUAUAAAUUUAAAAUUGGUUCUGCUCACUGAAUAAUAAAUUUAAAGAGCUGCAGUAUCCUGACUGUGCAAAGGUAGCAAAAUCAUUUGUUUUUUAAUUGUGAACUUGAAUGAAAGAGCUGAUGAGAUAUAAACUGUCUCAUAAUAAAUAAUAGAAAUUGAAAUUUAAGUUAAAAUUCUUAACUGUAAUUAUUAGACGAGAAGACCCUAUAGAAUUUUAUAAAUUUUAUUUAUUGUUUCAUCAAGGUUUAUAGGAAAUUAUAAGAAUAAUUUAUUUGGUUGGGAGGAUUAUUAAAUUUAUUAAACUUUAAGGUUAAAAUUGACAAUGAUUUUUGAAAAAUUGAUUAAUAAAUAAUUAUAAGAUUAAAUUACCUUAGGGAUAACAGCGUAAUAUUUUUGGAGAGAUCAUAUUAAUAAAAAUGUUUGCGACCUCGAUGUUGAAUUAAGAUAAAAAUUAGAUGUAGAAGUUUAAUAUUUGGGUCUGUUCGACUUUUAAAAUCUUACGUGAUCUGAGUUC
rnacentral:rRNA from 1 species